CCUAUGGCCACACCACCCUGAAUGUGCCCGAUCUCGUCUGCUCUCGGAAGCUAAGCAGCGUUGGGCCU
rnacentral:rRNA from 1 species